GGCGGACGGGUGAGUAACACGUGGGUAACCUGCCUGUAAGACUGGGAUAACUCCGGGAAACCGGAGCUAAUACCGGAUAGUUCCUUGAACCGCAUGGUUCAAGGAUGAAAGACGGUUUCGGCUGUCACUUACAGAUGGACCCGCGGCGCAUUAGCUAGUUGGUGAGGUAACGGCUCACCAAGGCGACGAUGCGUAGCCGACCUGAGAGGGUGAUCGGCCACACUGGGACUGAGACACGGCCCAGACUCCUACGGGAGGCAGCAGUAGGGAAUCUUCCGCAAUGGACGAAAGUCUGACGGAGCAACGCCGCGUGAGUGAUGAAGGUUUUCGGAUCGUAAAGCUCUGUUGUUAGGGAAGAACAAGUGCAAGAGUAACUGCUUGCACCUUGACGGUACCUAACCAGAAAGCCACGGCUAACUACGUGCCAGCAGCCGCGGUAAUACGUAGGUGGCAAGCGUUGUCCGGAAUUAUUGGGCGUAAAGGGCUCGCAGGCGGUUUCUUAAGUCUGAUGUGAAAGCCCCCGGCUCAACCGGGGAGGGUCAUUGGAAACUGGGAAACUUGAGUGCAGAAGAGGAGAGUGGAAUUCCACGUGUAGCGGUGAAAUGCGUAGAGAUGUGGAGGAACACCAGUGGCGAAGGCGACUCUCUGGUCUGUAACUGACGCUGAGGAGCGAAAGCGUGGGGGAGCGAACAGGAUUAG
rnacentral:rRNA from 1 species